rnacentral:rRNA from 1 species
AGUUUGAUUAUGGCUCAGGAUGAACGCUGGCGGCGUGCUUAACACAUGCAAGUCGAACGGACGCCACUUGAAGUGGAAGGAGCUUGCUCCGGAAGCGGAAGAGUGAUGUUAGUGGCGGACGGGUGAGUAACGCGUGGGUAACCUGCCUCACAUUGGGGGAUACCAGUCGGAAACGACUGCUAAUACCGCAUAAGACCACGGUAUCGCAUGAUACUGAGGCCAAAAACUCCGGUGAUGUGAGAUGGACCCGCGUCUGAUUAGGCAGUUGGCGGGGUAACGGCCCACCAAACCGACGAUCAGUAGCCGACCUGAGAGGGUGAUCGGCCACAUUGGGACUGAGACACGGCCCAAACUCCUACGGGAGGCAGCAGUGGGGAAUAUUGCACAAUGGGGGAAACCCUGAUGCAAGCGACGCCGCGUGAGUGAUGAAGUAUUUCGGUACGUAAAGCUCUAUCAGCAGGAACGAUAAUGACGGUACCUGACUAAGAAGCACCGGCUAAAUACGUGCCAGCCGCGGC